CGCGGGGUGGAGCAGUUUGGUAGCUCGUCGGGCUCAUAACCCGAAGGUCACAGGUUCAAAUCCUGUCCCCGCAACCA
rnacentral:tRNA from 2 species